rnacentral:rRNA from 1 species
AUUGAACGCUGGCGGCAGGCCUAACACAUGCAAGUCGAGCGGAUGAAGAGAGCUUGCUCUCUGAUUCAGCGGCGGACGGGUGAGUAAUGCCUAGGAAUCUGCCUGGUAGUGGGGGACAACGUUUCGAAAGGAACGCUAAUACCGCAUACGUCCUACGGGAGAAAGCAGGGGACCUUCGGGCCUCGCGCUAUCAGAUGAGCCUAGGUCGGAUUAGCUAGUUGGUGAGGUAAUGGCUCACCAAGGCGACGAUCCGUAACUGGUCUGAGAGGAUGAUCAGUCACACUGGAACUGAGACACGGUCCAGACUCCUACGGGAGGCAGCAGUGGGGAAUAUUGGACAAUGGGCGAAAGCCUGAUCCAGCCAUGCCGCGUGUGUGAAGAAGGUCUUCGGAUUGUAAAGCACUUUAAGUUGGGAGGAAGGGCAGUAAGUUAAUACCUUGCUGUUUUGACGUUACCGACAGAAUAAGCACCGGCUAACUCUGUGCCAGCCGCCGCAGUAA